rnacentral:rRNA from 1 species
CCGCACGCGCGCUACACUGAUGCAUUCAAGCAAGCCUAUCCUUGACCGAAAGGUCCGGGUAAUCUUUGAAACUGCAUCGUGAUGGGGAUAGAUUAUGUGCAAUUAUUAGUCUUCAACGAGGAAUGCCUAGUAAGCGCAAGUCAUCAGCUUGCGUUGAUUACGU